CAGCAGCCGCGGUAAUACGGAGGGUGCAAGCGUUAUCCAGAUUCACUGGGUUUAAAGGGUGCGUAGGCGGAUCUGUAAGUCAGUGGUGAAAUCUCCAGGCUUAACCUGGAAACUGCCGUUGAUACUAUAGGUCUUGAAUUUUGUGGAGGUUAGCGGAAUAUGUCAUGUAGCGGUGAAAUGCAUAGAUAUGACAUAGAACACCAAUUGCGAAGGCAGCUGGCUACACAACUAUUGACGCUGAGGCACGAAAGCGUGGGGAUCAAACAGGAUUAGAUACCCCCGUAGUCCCUGUCUCUUAUAC
rnacentral:rRNA from 1 species